rnacentral:rRNA from 1 species
UACGGAGGGGGCUAGCGUUGUUCGGAAUUACUGGGCGUAAAGCGCACGUAGGCGGCUUGGUAAGUUAGAGGUGAAAGCCUGGAGCUCAACUCCAGAAUUGCCUUUAAGACUGCCGAGCUAGCAGGUGAGAGAGGUGAGUGGAAUUCCGAGUGUAGAGGUGAAAUUCGUAGAUAUUCGGAAGAACACCAGUGGCGAAGGCGGCUCACUGGCACAUACAGGACGCUGAGGUGCGAAAGCGUGGAGAGCGAACAGG